GGAUGGCAUAGUGGUUUGAGCAUUGGACUGCGACUCUGGAGGCCAGGGUUUGAUUCCCAGCUUGGCCA
rnacentral:tRNA from 1 species